rnacentral:rRNA from 1 species
AUGAUUCCAGGACCUGGAAUCAUACCAGCCGAUGGGUGGUGGUUUGUCGCUCGUUCACCUGAUGGCGGUCAUUUGAUGCUCAUUCGCACCACGGGCCUCUUUUGUUGGAUAUUAUGUACUGUUGUUAGUUUGAAGCACUCCUCUGUACAUAUAACUGGAGUUAACCAAUGCAAGUCGAAGAAGGAUUGGCCGGUGCUGCCGGCUGGCGUCAAGUUCGAUCCCACGGAUCAGGAGCUGAUCGAGCACCUUGAGGCCAAAGUGAGUGCUGACAGCGCGAGAUCUCACCCUCUCAUCGAUUUGUUCAUACCAACCAUCGACAGCGAGCACGGCAUAUGCUACACCCAUCCUGAGAAACUUCCAGAUGUUAUGAAAAUGCCAACUACGUACACUAAAACCUGUAUUCGACUAUACUGCAGGCAUCACACUGAGUGGCCUAAGCAAGCAUUUCUUCCAGCGCAAUUCCAGGGCAUUCAAAAGGGGCACGUGGACGCGUCGCAAAUACAGUCCGAGUGCGGCAUGCACGCGAUGUGGCACAACACCGGCAAUACCUUGCCGGUGAUGGUCAACGGCCGGCAGACGGGCAGCAAAAAGGUUCUGGUGCUGCACACCAACAAGAACUUUGACCAGCAGAGGCCCAACUGGGUGAUGCACCAGUACCACCUCGGGGACUUGGAGCAAGAGAAGGAGCGAGAGCUGGUCCUCUGCAAGAUUUUCUACCAGACGAACACUAGGGACAGGAGUAAAAACAUUAUAAGUUAG